AUAUUGAAGUCAUCUGUGCAUUAUUAGCGUAUUAAAGAUUAAUGUUCAGGUUUAUAUCAUUAUAUAACUCGAAACAGAAAAGUUUACUUCAUUUGUUUUUGAGAAAAAAAAGUUCCCUGCCAGAUUUUGGUAGGAGGAGUAGGGAAAUAUUUUGACUCAUCAGAGUCCACUGAGGUUUUCUAUAUUACAGAGAAAAAUUACCUGAAGAGUAUACCACCCAUUAAAAAGGGUGAAAUUAACUUGUUGUUUAAAAGACCUUUGAUUAAUUGGGAAAAUAAGAAUAUACAAUAAGGUAAGUAUUUAUAACCUGUCAGUAUCAAAUGGGAAUAAUACAUCCAAAACAGACCACAUUAUUACAAGCAUCACCAUUUACCUUGCUGAUGGUGAAAUCACAUAAAAAUGAACGGGAGACAAAUCUAAGGUAUGACUUUUAGCCCUUUAAUAUUCAUUUUGCAGACUGUUCACAACCAAGUUUUAAUCUCGAAUUGCUUUCCUUUGCCACCCAGCAAGCUUCUGAGUUGCUUCCUUACGCUGUUCUUUGGAAUGUGCCCCGGGAAUGUAAACUCAUUUUAAUAUUGGCCUAAGUAAAAUAGGAUUAUAAAGGCAAAUCUGUGGCUCAAGUUCCCAUAAUGCAUUUCAAAAGCAAGUUAAAUUAUUUUGGGAUUAUCCUGUUUGGGAUAACAUUAUUCCUUUCUACUAGCAUAGUUAAUCAAGAAUUGACAAAUGUAUUUUGUGAAGUAAACAUGAAAUUACACAAUUAUUUGUCACUUUUUAUUAAGUUACCAAACAUUCACUUAAUGCUGGUGUAGGUGUUAUAGGAAAGCAAUGGCAAUAUGAAUCAAAUUUUAGUAGAGGCUCUGUCAUUUAAAAAAAGGAAAGAGAAAGAAAAACAACUCCAAUAAAAGCAAAUGUUCCUAAUCUUAGUAUAAUGCCAAUAGGGUAGUUAUAUGGAGCUUAAUUUGCAGGUUUCUGGGAAAAUAUAUAUGAAAUCCAGUGUAUCAUAUAAGACAGCAAGAAGUCCCUUUUAAAGCACAUGCAAUGUGCUAUAUAUGGACAUAUGAAAAUAUUUUUGGUAUUAAAACAAAAUAGUAAACUAAACUAGGUGAAAUACCUUCCUAACCUUAAAUAUCUAUUUUAAAAUGUAGCUGAUAUCUGAUAACACUGUAAUACUGGUACUGGUCUAGCCUAAUUUUGCAGCGAAUUAACAGUUACUAAUAUGCAGUCUCACAGUUAACUGUGGUUAUCACAGACUCCUUUCUUCCUGUGUAGAACUAGAUACAUAAAAUGUAAAAUUUCCUAAACCCACUGCUGACAGGAAAGCUUAAUACCUUUACUAAUCUAUGGCAUUUUUUUGAGACAGGGUCUCACUCUGUCACCCAGGCUAGAGUGUAGUUGCGCGACAGGGUUUCACCAUGUUGCCCAGGCUGUUCUUGAAAUCCUGGCCUCAAGGGAUCCACCUGCCUUGGCCUCCCAAAGUGCUGGGAUUAUAGGCAUGAGCCACCAUGGCUAGCAUUUUUUUAAACUUCUAAUCUACAAGAACAAACCUAUACAUUGAAUCUUAAUGAAGAGACACAACUAGUAAGAGGGAAAUGUACUGUUCCCACUCAGUGCUUCAUCCAGCUGCAAAUUUGUUACAUUUUAAAAAUCCUUGAGCCCAGGAGUCUGGGUGGGGCUGCAGUGAGCCAUAAUGAUGCCACUGCUCUUCACCCUGGGCAGCAUAGUGAGACCUCAUCUCUUUAAAAAAAUUGUAAAACCUUUGAUGAGAAAAUGAAUACUUAAAAUGUAUAUUUCCAGUUUAAUAGACAAUCUUGUACUUGAAGCCCACUCUGGGGGAUGUUUUCCAUGGAUUCUUUUAAGAUGUCUCAAAUAAAAUAGAAUACUUGGUACUUUGUGGUGACCUGAUCUUAAGGUAACACUGGCAUCCCAUAAUCAAUUUGCUGAUCAUUUAUUCCUAUCCCUUCUCUGGUCCAGCACCUUCUUCUAUGUAUCUGAUCACCCCCUGCCACACUCCCCAUUAUGCACCCACUCAAAAGCAGAAAGCCAAGAGAAUAAUGCUGGAACUUUUUUCUUUUAUUAAACAGAUGGGAAUUUCAAGUCUCCUUUGCAGAGUGAUUAUAUUGCCACAAAAACACAUUUUAGAAGAAAAGUGAUGCUUAUGGAAUUUUAUCUUCGUCUACUCCAGAUCUGCCUAAAGGAAAGAAAACUCAGAGGCUUCUGAGUAGAAAGCAACCCAAAUUUCUACAAGCCUACAAGUGGACUCUGGCAAUUGAAUGAUCCUAUUCAUGCAGAUCAUUCAUACUGCUGCUUAUGGAUCCAGUGAUUUCUAAUUAACAAUAUUUACACUGUGCUUUGUUUUUUGUUUUCUGGUUUUCCUCCCCAGUCUGUCCCUUUGAAAGGAAACAGAUACUAUACAAGUGAGCAUCUCAUAACUCUUUCCCUCUUUAAAAAAAAGUAACUUAGAAUACAUAUAAAUUUGGUCAAUGCCAAUUUUAAUAAUGUAAAAUAUUUAGAUUCAAUUUUGAAGUUGAAAAACUUUAAACCAGGGCACAUAAAGAAAAAACAGCUGUCAUAAUUGGAAGGAAGGUAUGAUCUGGAAUCUUUUUUCCGAGUAUUACACACACAAAACAUUUCUUGAUCAAUGAAUUAAAUGUCAACUGAACUGAUAUCUUGAUGGGGCAUUACCAGUAUUUUAAAGGCAGGACUAAAGGGCAGAUUAUUUCAAGUUUUGCUCAUUAGCAAAACUGCAACAUUCUGCUCAUGUUAUAUGUCAAUGAAACUAAUAUCUUGAUUGAGCAUUUCCAACAUUUUAAAGGCAGAACUGAGAAACAGCUAUUUGUUCACAUACAACACUGUGAUGUUCUGCCUGAAAAUCGAUUGAGUAUUUCCAAACCUAUUAUUUUUCAUUUAUUGUGAAACCUACAUUUACCUCCUAAAAGAAACAAAGCUCUUCAAAAGUCUCUUCCCAAGGCCCCUCCCUGCUUCUCUGGGCCUCUCCCCACUUUCAACCUCUAUUCUACUUUUUCUUAUUCUUUCUCCAUUUUCCCCAAUGCACACUCUUCCUCUUAUGCCCAUGGCUACUAUAAAGAGAUCAAUUUCCCAUAUUCAAGAAAUUAGUGUUUACUUAUCAAUCAAUAUUCUGACAAAAACUUAAGCCAAAAAGAACCUCUUAUAAGGCCUUGUUUCCUUCUGGAUAUUGAGCCAAUAUAAGAUGUACCAAAUUAAAAAAAAAAAUCAGAGCAAGCUCCCCCCCGUUCUAUUUUUGCUUGCCUCUGAUGUAAACUGAAUUAAGAUUUUAGGUACCUGGACCUUUGAGAACGUGACACUAGCAAGGUGGUGACCACAGAGAAUAGGUACAAAGGUCUUGAAGCUUGCUUAGAGCUUUGUUCCGUGGUGGCACACAAAUCUUGGCUUGCUGUACCAUCAUUGGCAAACCUCAUCAUAUCACAGUUGGGUGUGUUUGUAUGUGUGUGAGCACUAGUGUGUGUGUGUACAUAUUCGUGUGUAUGCACACUUUGUGUACCUGUGUACAUGUGAUUGUAGAUGUACCUGUUGUGUGUAAACUCUGUUAAAAUGAAAUUUGCUUCGCAUUUAAUGUGCAACUUUGAAGUAGUGUAAUAUUUAUCUAAAGGUUUUCACUACUUGGUUUUAAUGUCUUUGAACGUGUACUUCUAUCUUCAAGCAAGCUUAUAGUACGUGUUGCUAAACUAACUUUUCCAAAGAACCGAGUUGACUUCUAUUUUUCCUUGCCUACCAACCAAAGGGAUGGUGGGCUCUUUUUUCCCUCUUGUAAAUUGUGCUGAGGAGAGGACGUGGCUAUGAGAUCAGUCAUUGUUCCAGUUACUGGUCACUGCUAGGGCAUCAACUUUAUCAGUUCCUUCAGACUCUUCUCUUUUUCCAACCUAAUCAAAUAACGCAGUGUGGCUUUUGUUCAUUAUAACAACGCGCUCUUUAGGCAACUUUUUUUCAAGCCUUCUGUCACCAUUUUAUUUUUUCAAGUAAGUUAAGUAAUAAUUGUUCAGAAUUGUGGGAAAAAAGAUUACUUGGGGGAAAAUACUGUAUCACUUUAUUUGCAUAUUAGGUUCAGAAGCUGCCAGCAGACAGGGUACAGAGGGUACAGCACAGAUGUAACAGUUGCUGAAUAAAUGAAUGAGAAACCUCAUACACAGUAGUACGUAUUAUACAAAUAGUAACAGGUACACAUAGUCACAGGUACUGCAUAACAAAUGCAAUCUUGUUCUCAUUAUUUAUUAGUUUACAGACAAUUAAUUUAUUCAGUAUUGUGCUGGAAGAAUCUUUGUGGAAUAUGUUUACCAACUUAUCACUUACCUUCCAGCUAUCAGUUCAUGCUGCUAAGAAAAAACAAUGAUGGAAUAUUUUUGUGUGUGUGACCUCUACAUUUAAUUUGAUAUCAGGCAUAGUCACUUGGUCGUUAAAAACUGAAACUUUACAGUUCCACCAGCUAAUUACAUCUGCUAUUUCUGCUUCACAGAUAUGCUUUGAGUUGCUUUGGCUUUGUCUUCCUUUGUAAAUACUCUUGUACUUUCUUUUCCUUGUAAACAUCUCGUUUGCAGUUUUGGGAGACGACUUUGCAACUCUGUAUAGUGUUUAUAUAUAUAUGUAUAUCUAUAUAUAUCUGACUUGCCUUUCCAUACAGCUACU
rnacentral:lncRNA from 1 species